AUUGAACGCUGGCGGCAGGCUUAACACAUGCAAGUCGAGCGGUAGCACAAGAGAGCUUGCUCUCUGGGUGACGAGCGGCGGACGGGUGAGUAAUGUCUGGGAAACUGCCUGAUGGAGGGGGAUAACUACUGGAAACGGUAGCUAAUACCGCAUAACGUCGCAAGACCAAAGAGGGGGACCUUCGGGCCUCUUGCCAUCAGAUGUGCCCAGAUGGGAUUAGCUAGUAGGUGGGGUAAUGGCUCACCUAGGCGACGAUCCCUAGCUGGUCUGAGAGGAUGACCAGCCACACUGGAACUGAGACACGGUCCAGACUCCUACGGGAGGCAGCAGUGGGGAAUAUUGCACAAUGGGCGCAAGCCUGAUGCAGCCAUGCCGCGUGUGUGAAGAAGGCCUUCGGGUUGUAAAGCACUUUCAGCGAGGAGGAAGGGGGUGAACUUAAUACGUUCAUCAAUUGACGUUACUCGCAGAAGAAGCACCGGCUAACUCCGUG
rnacentral:rRNA from 1 species